rnacentral:rRNA from 1 species
AAUGGGUCAGCGACUUAUAUUCUGUAGCAAGGUUAACCGAAUAGGGGAGCCGAAGGGAAACCGAGUCUUAACUGGGCGUUAAGUUGCAGGGUAUAGACCCGAAACCCGGUGAUCUAGCCAUGGGCAGGUUGAAGGUUGGGUAACACUAACUGGAGGACCGAACCGACUAAUGUUGAAAAAUUAGCGGAUGACUUGUGGCUGGGGGUGAAAGGCCAAUCAAACCGGGAGAUAGCUGGUUCUCCCCGAAAGCUAUUUAGGUAGCGCCUCGUGAAUUCAUCUCCGGGGGUAGAGCACUGUUUCGGCAAGGGGGUCAUCCCGACUUACCAACCCGAUGCAAACUGCGAAUACCGGAGAAUGUUAUCACGGGAGACACACGGCGGGUGCUAACGUCCGUCGUGAAGAGGGAAACAACCCAGACCGCCAGCUAAGGUCCCAAAGUCAUGGUUAAGUGGGAAACGAUGUGGGAAGGCCCAGACAGCCAGGAUGUUGGCUUAGAAGCAGCCAUCAUUUAAAGAAAGCGUAAUAGCUCACUGGUCGAGUCGGCCUGCGCGGAAGAUGUAACGGGGCUAAACCAUGCACCGAAGCUGCGGCAGCGACACUAUGUGUUGUUGGGUAGGGGAGCGUUCUGUAAGCCUGUGAAGGUGUACUGUGAGGUAUGCUGGAGGUAUCAGAAGUGCGAAUGCUGACAUAAGUAACGAUAAAGCGGGUGAAAAGCCCGCUCGCCGGAAGACCAAGGGUUCCUGUCCAACGUUAAUCGGGGCAGGGUGAGUCGACCCCUAAGGCGAGGCCGAAAGGCGUAGUCGAUGGGAAACAGGUUAAUAUUCCUGUACUUGGUGUUACUGCGAAGGGGGGACGGAGAAGGCUAUGUUGGCCGGGCGACGGUUGUCCCGGUUUAAGCGUGUAGGCUGGUUUUCCAGGCAAAUCCGGAAAAUCAAGGCUGAGGCGUGAUGACGAGGCACUACGGUGCUGAAGCAACAAAUGCCCUGCUUCCAGGAAAAGCCUCUAAGCAUCAGGUAACAUCAAAUCGUACCCCAAACCGACACAGGUGGUCAGGUAGAGAAUACCAAGGCGCUUGAGAGAACUCGGGUGAAGGAACUAGGCAAAAUGGUGCCGUAACUUCGGGAGAAGGCACGCUGAUAUGUAGGUGAAGCGACUUGCUCGUGGAGCUGAAAUCAGUCGAAGAUACCAGCUGGCUGCAACUGUUUAUUAAAAACACAGCACUGUGCAAACACGAAAGUGGACGUAUACGGUGUGACGCCUGCCCGGUGCCGGAAGGUUAAUUGAUGGGGUCAGCGCAAGCGAAGCUCUUGAUCGAAGCCCCGGUAAACGGCGGCCGUAACUAUAACGGUCCUAAGGUAGCGAAAUUCCUUGUCGGGUAAGUUCCGACCUGCACGAAUGGCGUAAUGAUGGCCAGGCUGUCUCCACCCGAGACUCAGUGAAAUUGAACUCGCUGUGAAGAUGCAGUGUACCCGCGGCAAGACGGAAAGACCCCGUGAACCUUUACUAUAGCUUGACACUGAACAUUGAGCCUUGAUG